rnacentral:lncRNA from 1 species
GUGAAUCUCUUUGUGACAUCACACGGCCCUUCAUCACCCUUCCGUGGGAUCCGGAGCUCCCCAGCUCUGAGCGCCCCAGUAUUAGCCUCUGGGGGCUCCAGCUCCCCAAAACCCCUUGUCUCUUGGUCCUUCCAGAAUCACCUCCUCGAUCCAGACUCAGGUUCCCUCAUACCACAGCCACUGGGUCCCUAGGCCCUUCCUCCUAGACCCUCCCAGUCCUUCCCUGACAGGUGAGGAGGCCAAGGUCCACCACAGCCAUCAGAGUCUUCAGAAGCUAGGUGUGAACCUUUCCGUCCCUGCUAUGGACUGAGUCUCAGGGCCUGGUGUUUACAUGGUGGUGUCCUAUUCCCCUAUAUGAUGGUAUUUGGAGGUGAUUAGGGUUAGAUGAGAACCUGAGGGUGGGACCCACAGUCAGCACGCUGUUAAGAAGAGUUACAGAGACUGUCUCUUUCCCUCAUGCCCGCCAUGCAAGGACACAGAGAGAAGGUGGCCAUCUACACACCAGGAAAACUGCCCUCAGCGGGAAUGGCACCACGCUGGCUCCUGGAGGCCACGCCAGAGACCUCCUUAGUGAACCCUGUUUAUACAAGGCCGUAAUUCUUGCUGAUCACACAGUACACUACUAUGGCCGUAUGUUCUGUGCAUGUAAGAGUUGUGCAAAUAAAAGCAAAGUCAUCAAGUUGGAGCUUCCUUUGACCUUCAUUUCUUUGUACGGAAUAUUGUACAUACUAUAUAUGAUUCCUCAUUUAGGGACCAGGUUGAUUAACAACCUAGGAGAAAGAACUGGACUCAGUCAUUAAAUGAGGGAUGACUGGUGUCACGUUUCUGUUGCUGGGACAAAAUAUCAACAUGCUGAACUUAAAGGAGAAAAAGGUUAUUUUGGCUCACAGUCUCAGAGGAUUUCCUUCAUGGUCAGCUGACUCCAAGACAAAAACAUGGUGGUGGAAGAAAGUUGCUCACCUCAUGGCAACUGAGAAGCACAGAGAGAGGGACUAGAAUGUAUCCUCCCAGGUCACACCCCCAGUGACUCUUCCUCCCCUGGGCCACCCUGCUGACAGCACAUUCAUUGGGAACUCGUCAGUGGAUUCACCGAUCUAGUCACCUUUGCAGGCCCAGCUGGGGAUCAAGCCUUCAGUACAUGAGUCUCUG